CACGGCCCAGACUCCUACGGGAGGCAGCAGUGGGGAAUCUUGCGCAAUGCGCGAAAGCGUGACGCAGCAACGCCGCGUGUGGGAAGACGGCCUUCGGGUUGUAAACCACUUUCAGGAGGGACGAAGGGUCGGCCGCGAAUAGCGAGCCGGCUUGACGGUACCUUCAGAAGAAGCUCCGGCUAACUACGUGCCAGCAGCCGCGGUAAUACGUAGGGAGCAAGCGUUGUCCGGAAUAAUUGGGCGUAAAGCGCGCGUAGGCGGCUCGAUAAGUCUGUUGUGAAAGUCAAAGGCUCAACCUUUGAAUGCCGAUGGAUACUGUCGAGCUAGAGUCCGGAAGAGGCGAGUGGAAUUCCUGGUGUAGCGGUGGAAUGCGCAGAUAUCAGGAGGAACACCAACGGCGAAGGCAGCUCGCUGGGACGGUACUGACGCUAAGGCGCGAAAGCGUGGGGAGCAAACAGGAUUAGAUACCCUGGUAGUCCACGCCGUAAACGAUGGAUACUAGGUGUGGGAGGUGUCGACUCCUCCCGUGCCGUCGCUAACGCACUAAGUAUCCCGCCUGGGGAGUACGGCCGCAAGGCUAAAACUCAAAGGAAUUGACGGAAUCGAAUU
rnacentral:rRNA from 1 species